rnacentral:rRNA from 1 species
GACGAACCGAGCGAACGUUAUUCGGAAUCACUGGGCUUAAAGGGCGCGUAGGCGGACCGUCAAGUCAGGGGUGAAAGCCCGCGGCUCAACCGCGGAAGUGCCUUUGAUACUGGCGGUCUCGAGGGAGGUAGGGGCGUGCGGAACUUCCGGUGGAGCGGUGAAAUGCGUAGAUAUCGGGAGGAACACCAGUAGCGAAGGCGGCUCGCUGGGCCGUUCCUGACGCUGAGACGCGAAAGCUAGGGGAGCGAACAGG